rnacentral:rRNA from 1 species
CUCAGAUUGAACGCUGGCGGCAUGCCUUACACAUGCAAGUCGAACGGCAGCGCGGGAGCAAUCCUGGCGGCGAGUGGCGAACGGGUGAGUAAUACAUCGGAACGUGCCCAAUCGUGGGGGAUAACGCAGCGAAAGCUGUGCUAAUACCGCAUACGAUCUACGGAUGAAAGCAGGGGACCGCAAGGCCUUGCGCGAAUGGAGCGGCCGAUGGCAGAUUAGGUAGUUGGUGAGGUAAAGGCUCACCAAGCCUUCGAUCUGUAGCUGGUCUGAGAGGACGACCAGCCACACUGGGACUGAGACACGGCCCAGACUCCUACGGGAGGCAGCAGUGGGGAAUUUUGGACAAUGGGCGCAAGCCUGAUCCAGCCAUGCCGCGUGCAGGAUGAAGGCCUUCGGGUUGUAAACUGCUUUUGUACGGAACGAAACGGCUCUUUCUAAUAAAGAGGGCUAAUGACGGUACCGUAAGAAUAAGCACCGGCUAACUACGUGCC